rnacentral:rRNA from 1 species
ACCUCAAAUCAGGCAAGACUACCCGCUGAACUUAAGCAUAUCAAUAAGCGGAGGAAAAGAAACCAACAGGGAUUGCCUUAGUAACGGCGAGCGAAGCGGCAAUAGCUCAAAUUUGAAAUCUGGCGUCUUUGGCGUCCGAGUUGUAAUUUCAAGAAGUGUCUUCUGGUUUGGCCCUUGCAUAUGUUCCUUGGAACAGGACGUCAUAGAGGGUGAGAAUCCCGUAUAUGGUGAGGUGCCCAUUUCCUUUGUAAGACGCUCUCUAAGAGUCGAGUUGUUUGGGAAUGCAGCUCUAAGUGGGUGGUAAAUUCCAUCUAAAGCUAAAUAUUGGCGAGAGACCGAUAGCGAACAAGUACUGUGAAGGAAAGAUGAAAAGAACUUUGAAAAGAGAGUGAAAAAGUACGUGAAAUUGCUGAAAGGGAAGGGCUUGAGAUCAGACUUGGUAUUCAGUGAUCAGCUGUCUUUCGGGACUGUGCACUCGCUGUUUACUGGGCCAACAUCAGUUUGGAUGGCGAGAUAAUGACAAUUGAAUGUGGCUCUCUCUUCGGGGGGAGUGUUAUAGCUUUUGUUGAUAUCGCCUAUCUGGAUUGAGGACCGCGCUUC